rnacentral:rRNA from 1 species
GAAACAGGGCGGGGGACAGUGCGUGGUGGGCAGUUUGACUGGGGUGGUCGCCUCCCAAAUCGUACCGGAGGCGCGCGAAGGUUUGCUCAGGCUGGUCGGAAAUCAGCCGGUGAGUGCAAAGGCAAAAGCAAGCCUGACUGCAAGAGGGACACCUCGAGCAGAGACGAAAGUCGGUCUUAGUGACCCGGUGGUUCCGCAUGGAAGGGCCAUCGCACACGGAUAAAAGCUACUCUAGGGAUAACAGGCUGAUGCUUCCCAAGCGUCCAUAGCGACGGAAGUGUUUGGCACCUCGAUGUCGACUCAUCGCAUCCUGGGGCUGGAGCAGGUCCCAAGGGUAUGGCUGUUCGCCAUUUAAAGCGGUACGUGAGUUGGGUUAAUAACGUCGUGAGACAGUUAGGUCCCUAUCUACUGUGGGCGUUGGAUAUUUGAGCAGACUUGACCUUAGUACGAGAGGACCGGGUCGAACGAACCCCUGGUGUUCCUGUUGUCGCGCCCGCGGCAGCGCAGGUUAGCUAUGUUCGGAACAGAUAACCGCUGAAUGCAUCUAAGCGGGAAGCUGGCUGCAAGAUAAGAUAUCCCCAUUAAUCCUGUUAUAGACUAUGACGUUGAUAGGUGGAACGUGUAAGCCCUGCGAGGGGUUCAGCGCAUCCAUACUAAUCGGAUGAUUGACUUUUUAUC